rnacentral:rRNA from 1 species
GUACACUCCUGCGGGAGGCAGCAGUGGGGAAUAUUGCACAAUGGGCGCAAGCCUGAUGCAGCCAUGCCGCGUGUAUGAAGAAGGCCUUCGGGUUGUAAAGUACUUUCAGCGGGGAGGAAGGCGAUAAGGUUAAUAACCUUGUUGAUUGACGUUACCCGCAGAAGAAGCACCGGCUAACUCCGUGCCAGCAGCCGCGGUAAUACGGAGGGUGCAAGCGUUAAUCGGAAUUACUGGGCGUAAAGCGCACGCAGGCGGUCUGUCAAGUCGGAUGUGAAAUCCCCGGGCUCAACCUGGGAACUGCAUUCGAAACUGGCAGGCUAGAGUCUUGUAGAGGGGGGUAGAAUUCCAGGUGUAGCGGUGAAAUGCGUAGAGAUCUGGAGGAAUACCGGUGGCGAAGGCGGCCCCCUGGACAAAGACUGACGCUCAGGUGCGAAAGCGUGGGGAGCAAACAGGAUUAGAUACCCGGGUAGUCCCAUGA